rnacentral:lncRNA from 1 species
GAUACCAUUAUAUAUAGACGGCCAAAGCAUUAUACCCAAACCUAACUCACAUAGUAAAGAAGAAAUAGAAAAGGUGAUAUGGCUUCCGUUAGGCUCUCUUCCGCUACAAUGACCUCUUCUCUGGCUCAUGCCACAAUGGUCGCACCAUUCAUCGGACUUAAGUCCUCUGCUGCUUUCCCAGUGACAUGUAAGGCCAACACCGAAAUUACAUCCAUCACAAGCAACGGCGGAAGAAUUAACUGCAUGAAGGUCAUACAUAUUUCUUAUACCCAAAAUAAAUUGAUGGUUUUUAAUUCUGAAUUAUUCAAAACUAAUAUUUCUUUUAUUGAUUGGUAAUAAACAGGUGUGGCCUCCUGUUGGCAAGAAGAAGUUUGAGACUCUCUCUUACCUUCCUGGCCUUACCGAUGUCGAAAUAGCCAAGGAAAUUGACUACCUUAUCCGCAACAAGUGGACUCCAUGUAUUGAAUUCGAGGUGGAGGUAAGAAAAACUGAAAAAUGAACAUUUACAAAUAUUUAUAAUAAAGAGAUCUUGUAAAUGAUACUAAGUUGUAGAUAAUCACCAUACGAAUCUUGUAGCCAUCUCAAACUAUGCUUAAAGAUCUUAUGCAUAUUUUUUUGUAGUAAAUGAAAAUAAGGAAUCUCGAUUUAUGGUUUGUAUAAUUGUUUUUCGUAGCACGGUUUUGUAUACCGUGAGCAUGGAAACAUCCCUGGAUACUAUGAUGGACGAUACUGGACAAUGUGGAAGCUUCCUUUGUUCGGAUGCACUGACCCAGCUCAGGUGUUGAAGGAAGUGGAAGAAUGCAAACAGGAGUACCCCAAUGCCUUCAUUAGGAUCAUCGGAUUCGACAACAAUCGUCAAGCCCAGUGCAUCAGUUUCAUCGCCUACAAGCCGCCAAGCUUCACUGAUGCUUAAUUACACAGCUUCAUUGCUUUGUGUAAACAACAAAACUUUAUCCUUCCCUGCCUUUGAUUUAUCAUCUUUUUAUAUAUUUUAUCUUUUGUUUAAAUUCCGGAUUUAAUCUUUGUUUUCCAGGUUGCAAGAUAUUUUCUUUUAGGUCCUCAAAUGUCCUAAGAAAUAAAUAUGUAAUGUUAUAAAAAGAUUUUAUUUUGAAUUUUGUAUUUAAAAAAUCAAAUGACAAUGGAUCGAAACAUUAAUUUUACAAAGUUGAGGUAUAGUAAACUAAAUGAAUUUAAUCUUUGGAUUUUCUUUAUUGAAGUUAGGCAAAAAUAAAAGAAGUGAUGUUAUUAACAUGAAGUAAUUAUUAGAAAAAUAGAUUCACAUUAACACUUUUAUCACAUGAUUGAGGUAUAGAAGCAUUUUUUAAACUAUAUCUUAAAGCAAACGAUGGCCCCACUGAAAAUCUAUGAUGUAAGCAUAAGUGGAUGUGAAUUCUUUAGGAUAAGAUUUGAAGAUAAGAGUCUUGGAUAUUCAUUUUUAUUUCCAUUUAACCAUAGUAUAUUCAAUUAUUUUGUGCAGUGUGGAUCAUGUACAUAAUUUAGUCAUUCUUCAAUAAAAGUUUUCCAAUUAAAUAACUUAUAAAAAAAUUAUUAUCUUGGAACUAUGCCAAGUGAAUUUGUAACUUUUUAUGUUAUUUGGCUAGAUUUGAAUAUAUCUUAUUUACAGUAAAAAUUCAAAUUAUCUUUUAUUUAAAUAGAAAUUAUUUAAGUAAAAUAUCUUAUAAGAAAAUAAUACAUAUGAGAAAUCUCCAUAAAAGGACAAUAUAAUUUUUUUUUACUAUUUUAUCAAAAAAAGUUUAUAUGUUAUUUGCUUUAAUAAAUAAUCGCAACAGAAUACGUAUAAUACAUUUGUUUUAUGUAUUACUUUUGUUGAUUAGACAAGGUGGAAACUGACCAAACAAAACCAAAAUUUUUGGGUCAAAAAGAUCCAAAUGGUAUCUUGAAAAUGUCCACCCAAACUAUCUUAUUAUUUUCUCAAAUAGUGGGGGUAUAACUGUCAGGUUUAGCCCUUACCUAGAGCGUAGCAUGCAGCUUUUUUAAACGCCAUAAUUAACUAAAUAACUAGGGUGUCAAAUUAAUAAACCAUUACAUAUGGUACAGUGGUUUUAUGGUGUUUUAUUAACUAGAAAGUGAGGAGUUCGCUUCUUUCUUAUGAUUUACGGACUGGGCCUGAUGACAUUAAAUUAAUAUCAUGCAAGAUAUGAAUUGUUCCCAUCUUGAAGAAGCAAGAUAGGGGAACAUUUUGCCGCCGAAUGCAGUUUGUUAUAAACUGAAGAAAUCCAUUUAUGGACUCAAACAAGCAUGUCGACAGUGCCGUAAGAAAAUUUCUGCAUCACUCCUUUAUCUUGGCUUUGAUAAAGCUCAUGGUGAUCACAUAUUAUUUGUUUAUCAAACAAAUGAUGAUUUGGUGUAUGUAGAUGACAUCAUUAUUGUCAAUACAAGUGAUGAAAUUGGAACCAAAAUUGCAUUAGAAUUGGAAUCAUUCUUCAAACUUCGAGGUCUUGGCUUUCUUGGCCCAAAGCCACUUGACCAGUCGGACCGUCAUAUGACCCAAAGCCACACGACUCCGAAGGUCCCUCACAUGGCCCGAAGCGACCCGACACGAAGUUCCCUCGUAGCUGAAGCCAACAUACGGCUUAAAGACCAAAAAUGAUAUUAAUAUCUUUUACAACCCAAAACCAAAACAUACUUUUCUUAUUUAAAUUCAUUGCUUAGUCUCGUACUUUUUUUAGUUAGUUUCCUUCUUGAUCUGUUUAACAUUUUCUAUUUAACAUACCAAUUCAUUUAUAUAUUCAAUUCUACGUUUUUCACAUUUAACAUUUCGAUCUAAACUAUUUCAUUAUCAUACACAGUCUAACAUACCACAUCCUAAAUUGUGAAAAAGUUAUUCGAACCUUGAAAACCACUUCAAAGAAUAAAAAACAAAACUGAUAGGUUAUCCACAUCCAAAUCCCACCUAUAAAUCAUCAACAUAGAAUCACUAAAAGCCAUAGCUCCAUCACAUAUCACAUCCUCUCUUCAGAGGAAAAACGAAAUAGAAUUUUACUUUUCAAUUAUCCACCCACUGGUGUUACCCAUUAAGCCACAGAUCAGUGGCAAACAUGUUAUUAUCACCAUGAGGUUUUGUUUUUUGUCACAAAUCACAUCAUCACCUCUAGUGAUCUUAAAAGAUCGAAGAUUCUGAACUUAUCUGUGUUUUCCAGCAAUGCUUUUCUGAAAUCGUAGGAGGAUAUCGACAUUGCAUUUUAACUUGAUUCAAAAAAAUUCAACGGCCGAUGUUGCUUUCAUAUUGAAAUACACUUCCAGUGAUUUUAUAUUGUUUGUCACCUAUGUGAUAGGUGCUGUUAGAGGUCCACCAUUUGGAACAAAGUAAAAUUGAGUAUAAGAAUAUUGAAAUAGAGAGAGACAAAUUGUAAUGAAUAUAACUAGAAAUCCUCUAAAUUUAUAUAUCAAUAUUUUUAGUAUAUUAACUUUCACAUCAGUUAUUAUGAUUACAUAUUUUUAGAUUUUCAUUUUAGGCAUGAAAAUUUAUUCACAUUUUUAAAGGCCCAAUCUAAGUUUUAAUUUGGGCCUUACCAUAUCAUUUAAACUAAAUUGAAUAUGAUAAAUGCAGAACAUCUAUAAAGUCUUAAAUAAUAUUAUUUGUUUCCCAUUGAAGAAGAGGUCAAACCCAACAGAAAAUAAAAUGAGUAGCACCAUCAUCACCCAUUUCAUUUAUAGAUAAAGAUAAGGUUCAUGAAAUUAUCUUCCAGGUGGCAUUAUUUUAAUGGUUCAAACCAAUAGGGGUAUCACCACCUUUUCUUAUCCUUUGUGGCUGUUACAAUUCAAUUAAACUUCAUCCAUAUCCACUCAAAAUUUCAAUGGUCUGAAUUCUAUUCUACUCUAAUCUCUUGGAUUCUCAACCCUCUUAUCACUCUGCGGCUUGUUUCCAUUGUUGAUACCAUUAUAUAUAGACAGCCAAAGCAUUAUACCCAAACCUAACUCACAUAGUAAAGAAGAAAUAGAAAAGGUGAUAUGGCUUCCGUUAUGCUCUCUUCCGCUACAAUGACCUCUUCUCUGGCUCAUUCCACAAUGGUCGCACCAUUCAUCGGACUUAAGUCCUCUGCUGCUUUCCCAAUGACAUGUAAGGCCAACACCGAAAUUACUUCCAUCACAAGCAAUGGCGGAAG